UACGUAGGGUCCGAGCGUUGUCCGGAGUUACUGGGCGUAAAGCGCGUGUAGGCGGCUGGGUACGUCGGUCGCUGAAAGCCCCCGGCUCAACCGGGGAAGGGGUGCCGAAACGACCCGUCUGGAGGGACGUAGGGGGAUCUGGAACUUCCGGUGGAGCGGUGAAAUGCGCAGAUAUCGGGAGGAACACCAGCGGCGAAGGCGGCACUCUGGGCUGGUACUGACGCUGAGGAGCGAAAGCGUGGGUAGCAAACAGG
rnacentral:rRNA from 1 species